rnacentral:rRNA from 1 species
CAGGAGGAUCCUGGCGCAGGGAAACCACCCGUUCCCAUCCCGAACACGGAAGUGAAGCCCUGCCGCGCCGAUGGUAGUGCCGCUUGACGGCUCUCGCCGUCUGCCUCGCAGCCGGCUGCCGCCCAAGGGGUGGGAGAGUAGGUCGUUGCCAGGC